rnacentral:rRNA from 1 species
GCUGGUGGUGACGGAGGUCUGAGAUUGUUCGUGAUUAUCGGAUUUCACGGGCGGUUGAUUUCCUUCCAGGAAAGAGCCCCAGCGUUAUAGGCCGUACACUAAACCGACACAGGUGACGAGUUGAGUAUACUCAGGCGCUUGAGAGAAUGAUGUUGAAGGAACUCGGCAAAUUACUCUCGUAACUUCGGGAGAAGAGAGCCCCGCUCGAACGUAAGUUCGGACGGGGGGCACAGAAAUGGGGGUGGCGACUGUUUAUCAAAAACACAGGACUCUGCGAAGUCUCCCAAGACGACGUAUAGGGUCUGACGCCUGCCCGGUGCUGGAAGGUUAAGGAGAGAAGUGCGAGCUUUGAACCGAAGCCCCAGUAAACGGCGGCCGUAACAAUAACGGUCCUAAGGUAGCGAAACUCCUUGUCGGGUAAGUUCCGACCUGCAUGAAUGGCGUAACGACUUCCCCACUGUCUCCAACAUCAACUCAGUGAAAUUGAAUUCCUCGUGAAGAUGCGGGGUUCCCGCGGUUAGACGGAAAGACCCUAUGAACCUUUACUAUACCUUUGCAGUGGUAUUAGGGAUCGCAUGUGUAGAAUAGGUGGGACUCUUUGAAGCUUGGGCGUCAGCCUGAGUGGAGAGGUCAGUGAAAUACCACCCUUGUGUUCCUUGAUAUCUAACUUAGCCCGGAUAAACACGGGCAAGGACCCUGCAUGGCGGGUAGUUUGACUGGGGCGGUCGCCUCCCAAAGUGUAACGGAGGCGCGCGAUGGUUAGCUCAGGCUGGUCGGAAAUCAGCCGGUGAGUGCAAUGGCACAAGCUAGCCUGACUGCAAGACUAACAAGUCAAGCAGAGGCGAAAGCCGGUCAUAGUGAUCCGGUGAUUCUUCGUGGAAGGGUCAUCGCUCAACGAAUAAAAGGUACUCUAGGGAUAACAGGCUGAUAGCGCCCAAGCGUCCAUAGCGACGGCGCUGUUUGGCACCUCGAUGUCGACUCAUCACAUCCUGGGGCUGGAGAAGGUCCCAAGGGUUCGGCUGUUCGCCGAUUAAAGUGGUACGUGAGUUGGGUUCAAAACGUCGUGAGACAGUUUGGUCCCUAUCUGCCGUGGGUGUAGGAGUGUUAGAGGAGCUGUCCCUAGUACGAGAGGACCGGGAUGGACACACCUCUGGUGUACCGGUUGUCGCGCCAGCGGCACCGCCGGGUAGCUAUGUGUGGACGAGAUAAACGCUGAAAGCAUCUAAGCGUGAAACUCACCUCAAAACCAGCACUCCCUGAGAGCCGUGAUAGACCAUCACGUUGAUAGGCCGGAUGUGGAAGAGCCGUAAGGCUUGCAGCUUACCGGUACUAAUAGCUCAAUAG